GAUGAACGCUGGCGGCGUGCCUAAUACAUGCCAGUCGAGCGAACGGACGAGAAGCUUGCUUCUCUGAUGUUAGCGGCGGACGGGUGAGUAACACGUGGAUAACCUACCUAUAAGACUGGGAUAACUUCGGGAAACCGGAGCUAAUACCAGAUAAUAUUUUGAACCGCAUGGUUCAAAAGUGAAAGACGGUCUUGCUGUCACUUAUAGAUGGAUCCGCGCUGCAUUAGCUAGUUGGUAAGGUAACGGCUUACCAAGGCAACGAUGCAUAGCCGACCUGAGAGGGUGAUCGGCCACACUGGAACUGAGACACGGUCCAGACUCCUACGGGAGGCAGCAGUAGGGAAUCUUCCGCAAUGGGCGAAAGCCUGACGGAGCAACGCCGCGUGAGUGAUGAAGGUCUUCGGAUCGUAAAACUCUGUUAUUAGGGAAGAACAUAUGUGUAAGUAACUGUGCACAUCUUGACGGUACCUAAUCAGAAAGCCACGGCUAACUACGUG
rnacentral:rRNA from 1 species